rnacentral:rRNA from 1 species
UACGAGGGGGGCAAGCGUUGUUCGGAAUUAUUGGGCGUAAAGGGCGCGUAGGCGGUCUGAUAAGUCUUGUGUGAAAUCUCUGGGCUCAACCCAGAGUCUGCAUAGGAAACUGUCGGGCUUGAGUAUGGGAGAGGUGCGUGGAAUUUCCGGUGUAGCGGUGAAAUGCGUAGAUAUCGGAAGGAACACCUGUGGCGAAAGCGGCGCACUGGAACCAAAACUGGACGC